CACAUUUUACAGAGUACGGCUUAUCUGUUUGCGAUGCGAUGUACCAAUCGACCAUUAGAUUUAUCGAAACCCUUUGAUAUUAUUGAAAAUAUGCCGAGGCGAUGUAUUCGACAGACUACCAGAGCCAAUCACCCUGAAAACACGCCAAAACAGCAUUGGAAAGUCUCAUUAUAUUUUGCGUUCACACACGUAGACCAUAUGAUAAUGGAAUUGGAGAGUAGAGGGUGUCUGGUAUUAUCAGAAAAUAGCUUCUUUGUGUCGUAUCUGCUUCCUCGUGUUGUAGGAAAUAUAACCAACGAAUAAUUCUCAACAUUGUCUGAGACAUACAAAAUGACCUGGCAUGUAUUUGGCGGACAAUUUCAAUCGGGAGGUCGCUCGAUGGAGAACACGUACGCUGGUUUAUAACAUCUCGCGAGUGCUACCAUGCAGAUCUAUCAGUGUAUUAAGUCUGUUGAAAACAAAUGUACGAUCAACAAUGAACAACGACAGGUUAUCAUCGCUAGCAUUACUGCAUAUUGAUCGGGAUUUCAGUGUGAAUGUUGACAAAGUAAUAGAGAAGUUCGUUUCUGCUUAGACCCGAAGAGCAGAUUUUGGUCAAUGUUGAGUAAAUUCUGUAAUUCAAAAAUGUGUUGUUUAUGUAUUAAAUUAACCAUGAUUUACUCUAUUCAGAAGAUUCAAGUAUUAAUAGUUUUACGUUCAUAAAUUGUUUAUAAGUCCUAUCUACAUGUAGCUCCUCUUUAAACCGUCCUAUGACCGAAAACCGAAAAAAAAACAUUUUUUCUGCAUUAAACUCGGCGGUAGUUGCUUGCACAUCGUUUUCUUCUAGCUACGCC
rnacentral:lncRNA from 1 species